ACCAAUUCCCAAAUUCUCUAAAUAAACCCCCUAAACCCUACUACUUCCGACCACCGCGAUGGCAUCGUCGCUAAUCAUCUACCACCGCACCUUCAGAGCACUCUCCACCCUCCACCAUUCCUUUUCAUCAACUCUGACUCUCCCAAUCAGCUCCCACAUUUCAUCGUCAUCACUACCUUCACGUCGGGGAAUUGUCGCCGAACAUCGUCGGCGUUCAAUCCCGUUCAUUCAGGUCUACGUCAAUUUCUCUUCUAUCUUCUCGUUAUAACGAAACCCCCGACGAGAUUGGUCCUGAUAUGAUCCUCUUCGAGGGUUGCGACUACAACCACUGACUUUUCGUUAUGGAUUUUCCCAAAGAUAACAAGCCUUCACCCGAAGAAAUGGUUCGCACCUACGAAGAGACGUGUGCCAAGGGUCUCAAUAUCAGAGGUAAAGAAGAAAAUAUAUGCUUGCAGCACAACCACUUACACUGGCUUUCAGGCUGUGGUCACUGAAGAAGAGUCCAAGAAAUUUUAAAGGAAGAUAUUGAUCUAGUCUGACUCAUGUUGGGCGUCCUGUAUCGAAGUUAACAAACUUUAUGACAAGCUGAUUGCAUGUCCUUGCUGAUGGGGUCAAAAAUUGAAUCUAUUGAGUUGUCAUUGUAUAUAUCUGUCCAUGUUCUGUUUUCAUUAAAAAAAAUAUGGAUGUUGCAUGUCCUGAUUAGGUUAAACAUGUUUGCACUGGUUUAUGCUGGAUGGUUCUUUCUUCCCUUGAUGAUGACCAGAUUGAACGUGGUUUUGUUCCCACUUGUGUUGCCCUUAAGUCUGAUGUUAUUGAUACUCACAAGGUCGUUCUCUGGCUGAGACACCUGCCUACGCUUUGAAGAGGUAAACAAGCACACAUUCAACAUUCACUCUGCUGACUUGAAUUGUAAAAUGCAGGGUGACAAAACUGAUAUCGAAUGAUGUUUCCUUGCAACGAUGCACAUUAUCAUUCUGCAAUACUUAUUGAUGAAUACAAGGUUUUUAUGAAUGUCUUGAGUAGCUGCAUCGGCUUUUAUUUGUUCUCAAUCACUCAUGCUCUGUGUAGUUGUUCUUGGAACCACUCGUUGCAUUAAAUAUGAAAUAAUACCAAUCUCAAACUAUGUCAAGAUAAUGAAAUAUAUUCUUUUUACUUCUAAAAUUUGCUCAGCAUUCCAACUAUAUACAUUGCAGCUAUGUUUUCUGUGUCAGUUUUGGAGUUCUAUACAAAAAUCAGAUUACCUUGCACUCCAUCAAUUUAUAAUUUUCAUGAAUCUAUGUUGAUGGAUUCAUGAAUCUUAAUCAAUAAGAUAAUGUGUUGUAGUGUUCGUGUUAAAAGUGUGUGCUGCUACUUCCCAGCUCAAGUCAUUCCUUGAUAAAAAAAAUUCUGUAUGUCAAUGUCUAGUACUAUCAUGCCUCAUGAGUCAUGAUGCACCAUUUCAUGAUUAUCUUUUGGUUGACAUCUGGGUUGGUUUCAUCUCAUGAAUUAUUUGUUGUAUACUUCAUUGAAGUAUUGGACAAAGAGGACACACGACAAAAAUUUUAAAAUUAUAUUACAACUUUUUAUUUUCUAUAUUGUUUGAUAAGUCGUGAACAACGCAAGUAUAACGAUAUAAAAUUUACUACAAUUACAAUGCUCUAUAAAUUUAUGUAAUGUAAAUUUUAUACUAAUAAUAUUAUAUACAUUAUUGGAGAGAUAGUAAGAGGGGCUCUGAUACUAAAGGGGUAGUAACUAGUAAGUAGAUAAAAAUUAAUUCAUAAAAUAAAAUAAGAAAUAGAGAAGCAAACAUACUGCGUAGGUUGAAUAAGUAAUAUUUAAUUCAUUUUUAGGUUAUGUUUGCGAGUUUGGAGGGGAGGGAAGGGGAAGGCUUUCAAAAAUGAAAUUUUAAAAAAAUAUAGGAAAAUAUUUGACAUUUUUUAGAAAAAUGAUUUUGUUUAGAAUGAUAAAAGAGUCAUUAUCAUUCCUAAAUUUUUAAUUUUCAGAAUACUAUAACAACCUAAAAGAUAUUUGGAAAAUUUAUGUAAGCCCUUCAAAACCCUCCUUCGAUACAAUUUUUGAGUUCCCCUAUUUUAUGGGGUUUUUGGUGUUAUGAAUAAACUCAAAUCCUCCAAAACCCUCCUACCCAAAAUCUUUUUAUCCU